AUUGCAGAAUCCCGUGAACCAUCGAGUCUUUGAACGCAAGUUGCGCCCGAAGCCGUCAGGCCGAGGGCACGUCUGCCUGGGCGUCACG
rnacentral:rRNA from 1 species